GCUGUGAGCUCCCACUUAGGUCCCUGCUCACCAUUGCUGCCACUCAGUUGCUCUUGACAGUGAGUGUGGGUCCCUAACCAGCCUCUGGAAACAUGCAGUUUUAGAGACAUAGAUUUUAAACUCCAUCAUCUCCAUGCACCCAUGGGAGUUUUGCACCUUCUGCUCCAGCCAGCCUCACUGGCUCACACCGAUGGAAAAACAGGGGCCAGCUUGUGUUUUCACGGUUCCUUGUGGUGCCCGCAGCCCCCUGCGCCCCUGCAGAGGCGCGAGGUGCCCUCUCCUGCUCUGCCUCUCGGUUCACAAGACCUGGACGUGAAGAUGGCGACCGCUCUGACUCGCCCCGCGCGGUUCAAAGGCAGGCAGUUCGCAGGGGAGCUGAUUUUCUUUCUCUUGCACCACGGCCAUUGUGCGAGUGUCAAAGGAGCAUCCCUCUCAUCUCUCAGAUUGAUGGCAUCAUCUAGGACUUCCAGCAUAGACAAGAUAAACUAAAGGCUUCUGCAGACAGAAACAGAGACUGCAGGAAAAUACUCCAAUCAGGAACCCAGAUGGAAUAGGAAACGUGAAGUCUCCCCUGGAAGGAAAGCAGAAGCUGCCCAGAGUGAAGAGGGAAACCCUGAUGCCCGUGUUGUAGCAUGAAAACUUACAGGCUCCAGUCCUGCUGGGCUUCCUGACGCGAACUGACAAACAGAAGCAUGAAAGCAGCGGAGGCAUCACAAUGCCACCUGAAUGCCUCUUCUCAGCCACAGAGCUGUGCCAGUCUUGCUUUGGUUUUUGUUCCACUGGCCAUGAAGGGUAACAGAAACAGACUGUGAAGACCAGUAGUAGUAUCCUUGGUGACUUGAAUUUGGUUGUGAGGUAUAAAAAGGUGAGAAUUCUCCUAUAAUUCCUCAAGAAACAACUUGCUCUGCACUUAAUGAAAGUAGAACAGAGCCCACCCCAUCACAGGUGCAACCAGACAAAAACAUUAGGGGUAAAUAGUCUCUUCUAGCUAGAAGAUGGAGAAGGGUCAUCUCAUCUGUUUCCUCCAUACAAAUCCUUCUUCUUUUACAUUUGUGCUCUAAAAAAAACAUGCUUUGGGGGUGGGGCAUAUUGUACAUGUGACAUUGUUGUAUGUGCUUAUAUGUGUCAGAGUUUGCUAACAUUUAAACUUCCUCCAGAAACCAUGUUUCUCUCAACACAGGGGAGGUGUUCCUCCGUGUCAUGAAUGCCUUUUUCUUAUCUCCACUUUGAAUCCUUCAAUGAGAGCUUAUUGUGCUCCUCAGUAAUCUCAGUGUUUGUCCUGUUCAGGUUUCUGUAUCUCAAAACAGCCUCCGUAUGCUCUCGAUACCUUCAUUUGGUGUCCAGGCUCCCUGCCGUGGGAUAUCUGUGUCCUUCCAAGCUGCAACUCCUUUCUCUUCAGAGACCCCCUCAUGCCCUCUUUCUGAUUUGGAUUUGGGAUUUAGUUUAUCAUGCUUCUCAGACUUCUGGAAAUAGCCUAAACUCAGAAAUAUCUCAGCCCUUACUGACUGCCUUGACGACCCAAACUGGUAAAAAAGCUGUCUUUCCAACAAACUUCAGUGCUGAAGUUAUCACAGCAAGGCCUUCCCUGGGUCUGCUGUUUUCUAGUGGCAAAGAUGAGAAAUCUCAGAGACUGGGAUCUUGGUAGAAGUAACAGAGACAGCUCAUCAUUAAAAAAAAGGUUGUUCACCAGAUUCAGUUCAUAAAUGAGGGACCCCCAAAUACUGUGGCAUAAGGACUCAGUGUUCUAGAUGUUGCUGGUGUAACAAUUCUUUCCAGAAGAUGGGUGGGUCAAUAAGUAAAGUGGAACUUAAGUAAGACAUAUGAAAAACAUUUAAAACAGUCACUAAUCUGAAAGCCAUAGAGCAGAAGGUGUUGGACCUAGGAAAUGGCUGCGGUAAAAUAUCUUAUAUCUGCAUCUGGUAAACUGGUGGAAACGAUGUGGAGGAUUUUGACAUUUGCAAUGGUGGAUUCAUGCUUAUGAGAACUUUUAUAUUGUCUUUGGAAACAGAUGUGGAACUCCAUGGAAUAAAAUGGAUCUUCAUAGCUUUCCCAAAGUACAAGAACUAGAGGAUCCCAGCCUGGGAGUGGUCCAGUGCACAGAUAUUCAAUAUGCAUAAGGGGCAGUGUGUUCCACUGAAAUGAAAUCCACGGACCUUAAAUACAAAGUAGUACGUAUGAGAAGCUUUAUUGGAAAUCUAACUGCUUAUGGAAGAAGCUCAUUGAAACCUUCUCAGAAUGUUUCAGUUUUUAUGAGAUGGCAAUUCACAGAUACAAAAAUGGUCCAGCUCAUAUCAUCAUUUGAAUGUGUCAACAUCAUAAAAAAUAAUGGAGAGCUCCUUGAUCUAAUAUAGUCAGACUUUCCAUAUGGCCUGGCAUAAAAUGUUAUGAAAGAAUCUGAGAAUUAGGAAUGAAAAAUAUUGCUGAGAGACAGGAAACAAAGAAUAAAUGACAUUUUGUCAUUGUGACACAAGCUAACGAUAGUCUUUUCCAAGGUUACGCGCAUUAUGUUUCACGUUGUAAAGCUAGUUGGAGAAAUAGUGGUGCUGGGACUAAAUAGUUCCCCGCAAACUAAAAUGUCUCACAAAAUGUGAUCAACUAAACGUGGAAAAAAUCUGGAGAAAGAAAAGGUCUGCCAUUGUUCCAUUUGAAUGAUUGGGAAAUAAAAUACCUUGUAUUUGAAUAGAUUUUCUUUAAAAAAAAUAAAGAUUUGCCUUGAA